rnacentral:lncRNA from 1 species
UUAGUAAAAAUAGCAUCUUCACAUGGAGGACGCUGAUAUUUUGGAUAUCUAUGGAUAUCUCGAGUCUGCUCAUGAGUACGGUUCAGGAACACACGGCCAGAAAGACCAAAUGCUACCCCUUCCUUAGGAUGUACAUAGAGUUUGUGGUCUGAACAACCUUUAUGGUAUGACUGAAGUUCUUUGUUGUUCCCCCAAAGGCCAAAAGGCUGACAUGUAGUCGUAAGCACAACAGUGUUUCCAAUUUCCUUUGCCGCCCAGUACUGAACAAGAACAGACUCGCUUGGAAGAAACAAUAAAGUUUGAAGCAGAGAAAUGAUUUUUUUCUUGAAUUCCACAGUUGUCGGAACACAUAUAUCUGCAAGUUAAGGAAAGUUGAAUUUUUAUGGACACACUUUCAUAUCUAACAACAAGAGCAGCAGGCAAGCAACUCCAGAAACACAUCUUUAUACAAUUUUUU